rnacentral:rRNA from 1 species
UACGGAAGGUCCAGGCGUUAUCCGGAUUUAUUGGGUUUAAAGGGAGCGUAGGCCGGAGAUUAAGUGUGUUGUGAAAUGUAGGUGCUCAACAUCUGCACUGCAGCGCAUACUGGUUUCCUUGAGUACACACAACGUUGGCGGAAUUCGUCGUGUAGCGGUGAAAUGCUUAGAUAUGACGAAGAACUCCGAUUGCGAAGGCAGCUGACGGGAGUGCAACUGACGCUGAAGCUCGAAAGUGCGGGUAU